rnacentral:rRNA from 1 species
CCUACGGGUGGCAGCAGUGGGGAAUAUUGGGCAAUGGGCGCAAGCCUGACCCAGCAACGCCGCGUGAAGGAAGAAGGCUUUCGGGUUGUAAACUUCUUUUGUCAGGGAAGAGGAGAAGACGGUACCUGACGAAUAAGCCACGGCGAACGACGGGCCAGCAGCCGCGGUAAUACGGAGGUGGCAAGCGUUGUCCUGAUUUACUGGGUGUAAAGGGCGUGUAGCCGGGUUGACAAGUCAGAUGUGAAAUCCUGCGGCUUAACCGCAGAACUGCAUUUGAAACUGUUGAUCUUGAGUACUGGAGAGGCAGCCGGAAUUCCUCGUGUAGCGGUGAACUGCUUAGAUAUUAGGCGGAACCCCAGUGGCGAAGGCGGUCUGCUGCACCGCACCUGACGGUGAGGCGCGAAAGCGUGGGGAGCAAACAGGAUUAGAUACCCCUGUAGUC